UUGUUGGAAUGAAGGUAAUAGAUAUUUCGUAAACCAUAGAUGAGUUAUGAAAGGUCAAAAUUUUAUAAUUGUUAAUAGGAAUAGUACGGCCAGGUUGGGAAUGCCAUCCAAUUCUGACGUAAUUCUUUCUUUAAUAAUGGGGAAGAAAGAAUCUUCAUUACUUUCCAAAGAAGGGAACUUAAGGUCAGUUGGAGAUUGGGGCUGCCAUAAAAUAUGUUGAUUAUGUUACGUGAAUAAAAUAAAUUGUUGAUUAAAAAAUAGUUUUAUGGAUGAAAUAAAUUAUAUUGUUGUGAUA
rnacentral:lncRNA from 1 species